GAUGAACGCUAGCGGCAGGCUUAAUACAUGCAAGUCGAGGGGCAGCAUGACUGUAGCAAUACAGUUGAUGGCGACCGGCAAACGGGUGCGGAACACGUACAGAACCUUCCUUCGAGCGGGGAAUAGCCCUGAGAAAUUUGGAUUAAUACCCCAUAGUAUUACGGAGUGGCAUCACUUUGUAAUUAAAGAUUUAUCACUUGAAGAUGGCUGUGCGGCUGAUUAGGUAGUUGGCGGGGUAACGGCCCACCAAGCCUGCGAUCAGUAACUGGUGUGAGAGCACGACCAGUCACACGGGCACUGAGACACGGGCCCGACUCCUACGGGAGGCAGCAGUAAGGAAUAUUGGUCAAUGGACGAAAGUCUGAACCAGCCAUGCCGCGUGGAGGAUGAAGGUCCUCUGGAUUGUAAACUUCUUUUAUAUGGGACGAAAAAAGGCUUUUCUAAGUCGUCUGACGGUACCAUAUGAAUAAGCACCGGCUAACUCUGUGCCAGCAGCCGCCGUAACAC
rnacentral:rRNA from 1 species